CGGAUGAUCUUUAACUCGGUGCAUAACAUUUGCGUGCAUCUUUUUAUUAUGUUGUCAUGCAUUCAUUGCACAGCUUCACUUGCAUGAUUAUGAAUAGAAAUCUUGACGUCGAGCGGAAAAAUUGAUAUAUAUAAAAAAAAAAAAAAAAAAGAAGAUGUGGUAUGAUUGCCAAUGAGAUAACUCUUCACAAGACACCAAAAUGACACAGAAAUUAACAACUAUAGGUCGCCUUACGGCCUUCAACAAUGAACAAAGCCCAUACCACAUAGUCAGCUAUAAAAGGCCCCGAAAUGACAAAUGCAAAACAAAGCGGGAAGCAGCAAAUACCAAUUUUAAAUUCUUUGGUUUUGAACAGGCCGGGAUUCGAACCCAUGACCAGCCACACUUGAGGCGAACAUGCUACCACGAAAGCACCGCCACUAUACAGCUACCCGUAAUAUCAAAGGAAUGCCGC
rnacentral:lncRNA from 1 species